rnacentral:rRNA from 1 species
UGGGGAAUAUUGCACAAUGGAGGGAACUCUGAUGCAGCGACGCCGCGUGAGUGAUGAAGGAUUUCGUUUCGUAAAACUCUGUUCUAUGGGAAGAAAAGGACUGUACCAUAGGAGAAAGCUCCGGCUAAAUACGUGCCAGCAGCCGCGGUAAUACGUAUGGAGCGAGCGUUGUGCGGAAUUAUUGGGCGUAAAGGGUGCGCAGGCGGCUUUACAAGUUGGAUGUGAAAUAUUGUGGCUCAACCACAAACGUGCAUCCAAAACUGCAAAGCUUGAGUUAAGGAGAGGUAAGUGGAAUUCCUGGUGUAGCGGUGGAAUGCGUAGAUAUCAGGAGGAAUACCGGUGGCGAAGGCGACUUACUGGACUUAAACUGACGCUCAGGCACGAAGGCGUGGGGAGCAAACAGG